GUUCCUCGUGGGGGCUUUUCUUUCCCCCAUGGUCGCCCCAACCGAAGACAUUUAGAUCAGUUUACGUUGGGUUUUGUGGCCUUCGUGUUCCUUUUGGUUGGUUUGGUUUCUUUACAUGUUUGAUCUUUUGUCUAAAGCUCCAUAGGGUCUUCUCGUCUUAUGUGUUUAUGUCCGCUUCUGCACGGGCAGAUCAAUUUCAUUGACUAGGGGAAGGAGACAGUUAAACCCUCGUUAUGCCAUUCAUACAGGUCUCUAUUUAAAA
rnacentral:rRNA from 1 species